AAAGUCAUGUUAUUUAUUAAUCGAAAAACAGAAGCAGUUAUAUUUUAUUAGUACUACUUGAAGUCGAGAAAUUAUUCUGACUGCCACGCAGAUUAAAUCUACGGAUUUAAUCUAGAUAUUAAAUGGCUUGUGAAGUGAAUUAAAUCUAUGUAUUUAAUUUAUACACGAAUAAUGAGCAGAAGCCAGUAUUUGAUUGCAAACACGCGAUUAAAUAGUAGAUGCACUGAGUAACCAAGACACAAAGAUUUAUUAUUAUUUACAAUUAGAACUUCAACCACCACUAUCAAUCAAUGCAGUAAUUGAUUUUUUUUUUCUGAGUACAAGAAGAAAUCUUUGCAUAUAAGUUCACCACUGGCAGCAAGAGUGACGCAGUACAUUUGGGUAAAAAAAUAAAACUCUCGAAUUUGCUGGCUUUAGGAGGAAGAUCAUGCUUAAGACAAUCAUCUUCCACUAUCUAAUUAUUUAUCAACCACUACCUCCACUUAACAAAAAUGAGACCUACGCACUAGCCUGCACCACCACCCUUUUUCUCCACCAAACUUUCCACUUACUUCAUUCCUUCUCUCAUACACCAAGCACCAGAAAGGGAGAUGAAGUUCCUGCUGCCAACUGCCAAGUAUCGAGAGUUUCUUCUCCAUUGAAUUCAUUAUCAACAACAGCAGCUACCAACACAAAAUACUCAAGGUCAAGCGCAAGAAUAAGAACUACACAAGGAGUUAGAGUACCUUAGCAAAACUUUGCUAUCAGGUUGAGCUGUGAUGGGCGAUGAAGUGUUGUUGCUGAGUAGAGUUUUUGUCGAACUUAAAGUAGGCUCAGAAAGGAUACAUGUCUUCAUACAUGUAUCUCAGUUAUGCAUUCCGCUGUAAACACUGAUUAUUUCAGUUACACCUUCCGUUGCAAACUCUGAUAAUGUUUUAGCCAAGCCCCUAACGAUGCCUUUUUCCUUUU